GUUUUGAGGGGUUAACAAAGAAGUAUCAUGUAGGUGUAUGCAACUAAAAUUGGGAGUAAUAUUGCUCUAUGAUACUCACAGUUCCAUUCAACAACUUAUCCAUUGAGUUUGUGGUAGGGUAAUGUGCGAGUAUGAGCAGAAUGAUUAAUUUGGUAGUGCAUAAAAUGCCUUGUUGACUUGGAAGUUGGCAGAGCCCCGUUG
rnacentral:misc_RNA from 1 species